AUCGCUGCUUUCGAAUGGGUGCUGCUGACCAUUGAAGACGGUUUUUGUCCUAGUGAUGACGCACACACAAACAUACACACCGAGUGAGAGAGGGAGAGAGAAGAGGGCAACGGGAUCCGUUCCCCGACCAGAGUUGCCGUUUGACACCGUAAUGGUGGGGUAAGCAGGAAGUUGCAUGUACUUGUUCUUUGAAGAGUCGUUGGAGUCAUGUGCAGACAGAGUAGUCGGAGCUUGGGGCCUUUGAGGUUCAACGACUUUCAAACUAAGAUAUCCAGCUGCUGAAACUCGUGAUUUUCCCCACGGUUUUCAGAGGUUGAGCGUUGUGUUUUAUUGUGACAGAGUUUGUGACAGUUUUGUGAUUAUCUGUGCUUGGGAACCGUGACCCCUAAGGGCAUAAAUCACAAGAAGGCAAAACUCGCGUCGCCGUGUAACAGGUCUUAAGUUCUAUGAGGUGGAGUAAUUAGGUGAAGCUUUUGGACAUUGCCGAAAAUCUGAGAUUGAUGAUCACCAGUAUUUUACACCAGAGUGAAGGCACCGCAAGAGAUCGGCGAAGGGUUAUGUCCAGGCUCCGACUGGAUCUCAUUGCUAAUGGUGGUGGUGUUCAUAAACGAGCUUCACAUCAAUGACGCAACUAGAUGAAAUCAACCGGAUAAGUCCUGUCAAUGACUCCGACAUUCACACGAUUCAUCCAAAGUAAGUCUUGUCCAUCUCAAGCUCAGCUCAUCAUGAACACACUCGCGAUGGCCUUCUCCCAAGUGUGGUGACUUGUCUCUGAAUCCCCCCCCCAGAAUACAGAAUCAUCACUUCUCACUACCCUCAUCAAGUCACAAUGCAAUCUACCAAGAUCUGCAAAUCCUCCACGAAGGAAUUCUUUUGACGGGCACGGAGCGGCUGGUAUGCUCUUCAAGCUUUAAUAUCAAUCAGAGUGUAUAACUGUGUCCUCGACAACGAUAAAUUGCUACAGAACUGUGGCGAUUUAAUUCGACUAUCCUGUAACUUCCUCCAACAGACUUGAGGGUUCUGGUCCGAGUCUUGCAGCAGCAGCAUUGCCCAGAACCUCACAAAACAACAUCCGUCGUAUUGUAACCCAAUGGCAGACAACCCUCAACUAUGAAAGACAGACUGCACCAUCGACAGGAUGACCACCGAUUCGAAGUAAGGCUCCUGAUGACACCGCGACGGGUACGAAGCAGCAUUUAAGACUAAAACGUGGCCAAACAGAAGCUUCAGAGACAGUGAACACAACACCCAUCUCAGUCCCAAAUCAAGCGCAGUAAAAAUUCCAAGCUCUUCAGCAGACUUUGGCCAAUCCAAAACCUUGCAUUUGUUCCUUACUCUCAUUACCCAACUCUUCAGAUUGCAACUUCAUCAAAACAAGGAUUAAACCUCUGCAGCUUCCAACCCCCCGAAAUCCGCCGAAAACAGGCAAAAUCCAUGUCUGGAUUAAGAAUUUGCUGCUGUUGUGAUUCGCUGUCUCAAAGGUAUCCCAUACUCGAUGGUUUCGGAUCUUGUUCGUGACGCCAAGUAUGGGCUCUUUUGCUACCAUUUUAGGAAGAUGACCCAAUGGAUUUUGCAUUCUUCAGUUGCAAUGCCCUUUUUUUCAAACUGCUGCAAGUUUAGGUUGUUGCUCAUUUGUAGAUAAUAUUAGCAAUGGAACAUUGCCGUGCUUUUAAUCUUUUCUUAAAAAGCUUUGAGACUUGCUUCUUUACAAGUAUGCAGCUAAUAUCUUAGUGGUAUAAAAAGAUGCCGUUUGUUAUAUUUUGAUGUUUUUCUUAUGUUUUUGUAUCUAACUAAAAUGAAAAUAUACAACAAAUUCAUGAUA